rnacentral:rRNA from 1 species
AACCAGACUCCUACGGGAGGCAGCAGUGGGGAAUAUUGCACAAUGGGGGAAACCCUGAUGCAGCGACGCCGCGUGAGUGAGGAAGUAUUUCGGUAUGUAAAGCUCUAUCAGCAGGGAAGAAAAUGACGGUACCUGACUAAGAAGCCCCGGCUAAAUACGUGCCAGCAGCCGCGGUAAUACGUAUGGGGCAAGCGUUAUCCGGAUUUACUGGGUGUAAAGGGAGCGCAGGCGGCGCGGCAAGUCAGAUGUGAAAGCCCGGGGCUCAACCCCGGGACUGCAUUUGAAACUGCCGUGCUGGAGUGUCGGAGAGGCAAGUGGAAUUCCUAGUGUAGCGGUGAAAUGCGUAGAUAUUAGGAGGAACACCAGUGGCGGAGGCGGCUUGCUGGACGAUAACUGACGCUGAGGCUCGAAAGCGUGGGGAGCAAACAGGAUUAGAUACCCCCGUAACA